GAAGAGAGUUGUGGGAAAUGACAUAUAUAUAGAGAAAUUUUCGAGUUUGGUAGGUGAAAUAUAACAACGAUUUUACAAGGAAUGUUUUACAUGGAUUUUACAAAGAAUGUUUUACAUGGAUAUAACAACGAUUUUACAUGAACUUACAACCACUUUACAACGAAAUUAGUUAAGUUAAAGCACAUAGAAUACACGUUUUCACCUAAAUAUAACGGUAACAUGUUUCGUUGUAAUAUCGAUGUAACGGUUACGACGAAUUUAUCUUUCCACCUACUUUUGUCGUAAACUUACAUUGACUUUACGAUGCAACUGUUUCGUCGUAAAGUUACAUCGAGUUUACGAAAAAUUUUGGACUCCUCGUAAUUUCGUUGUAAACGCCAUGUAAAUUUAUG
rnacentral:lncRNA from 1 species